UACGUAGGGUGCAAGCGUUAAUCGGAAUUACUGGGCGUAAAGCGUGCGCAGGCGGUUGUGUAAGACAGAUGUGAAAUCCCCGGGCUCAACCUGGGAAUUGCAUUUGUGACUGCACGGCUAGAGUGUGUCAGAGGGGGGUAGAAUUCCACGUGUAGCAGUGAAAUGCGUAGAUAUGUGGAGGAAUACCGAUGGCGAAGGCAGCCCCCUGGGAUAACACUGACGCUCAUGCACGAAAGCGUGGGGAGCAAACAGG
rnacentral:rRNA from 1 species